rnacentral:rRNA from 1 species
GCACGUCUAAGUACGAGCCCAACUUAGGGCGAAACCGCGAACGGCUCAGUACAACAGAUCCUAUACAAAAGACUGACGCCUUGAGCAAGAGGAUAACUGUGGCAAUUCUAGAGCUAAUACUGUCAAAAAGCUCUCCGCCGUUCACGCGGCGGAGAAGUUUUUAUUAGAACAAAACCAAGUGGCGAGUGAUAAUAAUUGCUCGCCAACAUAACCCCCCGAUGACACGAAAUAACAUGCAAGCUCGCACGGUCUCGCACCGGCGACUUGUCUUAACAGAGUCUGCCUUAUCAGACCGGUCGGUGAGCCAAGGGCUUACCAUAGUUUUCACGGGUGACGGGGAAUUGGGGUUCGAUGCCGGAGAGGGAGCCUGAGAAAUGGCUACCACAUCCAAGGAAGGCAGCAGGCGCGCAACUUACCCACUCUCAGUUCGAGGAGGUAGUGACGAUAAAUAACGAUACGGGACUCAUCCGAGGCCCCGUAAUCGGAAUGAAAACAUCCUAAAAAACUUAAAAAGGAUCAAUUGGAGGGCAAGUCUGGUGCCAGCAGCCGCGGUAAUUCCAGCUCCAAUAGCGUAUAUUAAAUUUGCUGCGGUUAAAAAGCUCGUAGUCGGAGCUGUGUCCCGCGCCGCCGGUGCACUGCUCGCGGUGUCUGCUGGUGUGUUGCGGGACGUCCGGCCGGAGAGCGCGGUCCCGUCUCUGACGGGGCGGCUCGAGCCUAUACUCGUUUCCUCUUCAUUGAGUGACGAGCAGACCGGCACGGUUACUUUGAACAAAUUAGAGUGCUCAAAGCAGGCUCAGUGCCUGAAUAAUGGUGCAUGGAAUAACGGAAUAGGACCCCGGUUCUAUUUUGUUGGUUUCUAGACACCGAGGUAAUGAUCAAUAGGGAUUGCUGGGGGCAUUCGUAUUGCGGCGCUAGAGGUGAAAUUCUUGGACCGUCGCAAGACGUACUAAAGCGAAAGCAUUUGCCAAAAAUGUCUUCAUUGAUCAAGAACGAAAGUUAGAGGUUCGAAGGCGAUCAGAUACCGCCCUAGUUCUAACCAUAAACGAUGCCAUCUGACGAUCCGUACGGUUCCUCCGAUGACUGUACGGGCAGCCUCCGGGAAACCAAAGACUUUGGGCUCCGGGGGUAGUAUGGUUGCAAAGCUGAAACUUAAAGGAAUUGACGGAAGGGCACCACCAGGAGUGGAGCCUGCGGCUUAAUUUGACUCAACACGGGAAACCUCACCAGGCCAGGACGUCAGUAGGAUUGACAGAUCGAUAGCUCUUUCUUGAUUUGGCGGAUGGUGGUGCAUGGCCGUUCUUUGCUGGUGGAGCGAUUUGUCUGGUUAAUUCCGAUAACGAGCGAGACUCUGCCUUAUUAAAUAGGCGUACUCGGCAUACACGAGGUCCGCGCGCGGCCGGUCGCAAGGCCGUGUCGUGCGCGCGAUACUUGCUGCCGGCGUACUAAACAAUCUUCUUAGAAGGACAAGCUGUGUCUAGCAGCACGAAACUGAGCAAUAACAGGUCUGUGAUGCCCUUAGAUGUCCUGGGCCGCACGCGCGCUACACUGAAGAAGACAACGGGUCUUCCCGGGCCGUCAGGUCCGGGUAAUCCGUUGAGCCUUCUUCGUGCUAGGGAUUGGGGUUUGCAAUUGCACCCCAUGAACGAGGAAUUCCCAGUAAACGCGAGUCAUAAGCUCGCAUUGAUUACGUCCCUGCCCUUUGUACACACCGCCCGUCGCUACUACCGAUUGAAUGAAUUAGUGAGGUCUUUGGACCUUUGCCCAUGGCGCUUCGUGCGCGCAUCGGUUGCAAAAGGGAAGCUGACCGAACUUGUUCAUUUAGAGGAAGUAAAAGUCGUAAC